rnacentral:rRNA from 1 species
AUUGAACGCUGGCGGCAGGCCUAACACAUGCAAGUCGAACGAGUGGCGGACGGGUGAGUAAUGUCUGGGAAACUGCCUGAUGGAGGGGGAUAACUACUGGAAAAGGUAGCUAAUACCGCAUACCAUCGGAUGUGCCCAGAUGGGAUUAGCUAGUAGGUGGGGUAAAGGCUCACCUAGGCGACGAACCCUAGCUGGUCUGAGAGGAUGACCAGCGACACUGGAAAUAGGACACGGUCCAGACUACUACGGUAGGCAGCAGUGGGGAAGAUUGAACAAUGGUCGCAAGUCUGAUGCAGCCAUGCCGCGUGUAUGAAGAAGGACUUUGGGUAGUAAAUUACUGUCAGCGGCGAGGCGUUACCGGCAGAAGAAGCACCGGCUAAAUCCGUGCCAGCAGCCGCUGUAAUUC